GAGCUGUGGUUAUUCACGGCGCCAUUAUUACAGCCACCCAUUUCCAACACCCUCGGCAAGGCGGGAGCACAAUGUGCUCCAAGGAAAUGUGAUUGUGGGUCCUGCCCCUUGGCCCGGUGCUCGCUGCACUGUGCAGAUGGAGCUGGCAGCGCCUCGGCUCCGCUGCCUGGAGGGAGAGCGAGAUGGUGGAGGGGAGGCAGGACUCGUCCUCGCAGGCACAGGCAGAGCUCCGCGGGAGGGGGACAGAGCUGGCACCACGGGGGACGGAGACAGUGACGGGGGGGGGGAGAGGAGAGGCAGCCCCGGGCUGGCUGCGGUGGCCAGUCUCCCUAAUGAUCCCUGCCCCAGCCAGGAGUGCUUUCUCCUUCUUCCUGGAGUGGAAGGAGUGAUGGGCGCGUCACCUGCAUGGGCUGGAUGUGUCACCUGCCAGCUGCUACGGUCGGCAGUGCUGCACUUGCAUCUCUGUGUCCCACAACUGUCCAGAGCUGGCCUGGCUUUCCCCUCCGGUCUCUCUGCUCCUGGCUCAGAGAAUUCGCUAUAUGUGAGAUGGAGCAAGUAGAAAAACUGGUGGAAAGGUGGGUGCUCCCCCUCUCCUUCAUCUGCUCUGACGGGGCUCUGUCGAACUGCUCCACGCCCGCAGCCCGGGGAGGGGGGCUCCGGCUCCCCCCAAGUCCCACCCCACGCAGCUGGGCCAGCACGUGGGGCUCUGCCUGAGACCGGGUUUCUCUGCACCCAGGGGGGCUCCAUCCUGUGCUCCUGCUGCCUCCCUGGAUCCCAGCCCUGCUGAGGCCACCUGCAGUGGGACAGGCACCCUCCGGCAUCCCCCGGGGGGGGUGUGUGUGGGGGAAGGGGGGGCUACACAUCGAUAAAUGCAUAAAUACAGCUAAUUCCUCAGUAGUGGAGGCUGAACGUCCCAGCCUGCCUGGCUGGGAGCAGGCGCCGUGAGCUGGCCCCUAGAGAGGUGACGGAUCUCCUCGUUAUUGUUAUGAUUAUUUUUAAUCUGCUCUUAUCAAAGCCAGCCCGACUGAAGAACUGCCUGACCCUGCACAGCACAGCGUGUGUGGGGUGGGACAGAGGCUCACUCCAGUACCAGCCGUGGGUGACAGAACGGAACAGGGACACUUGGGCUCAGUUUUAUUGCUUUUGAAUAAAUCCAGGGGCUGCUGCCCCCAACCCUGAGCUGAGCCAGCUUGAGGGGCUUUGCCGGGGGCGGUGGGAGCCGGUGCUCGGGGCCGGGGCUGCUGCAGGGGCAGUCCGGGGGGGCUGGGGUGGGAUGGUCUGUCCGGGAGGUAUCUGGGGGUGACACCCGGCUUUGGGAUGGGCGAGAAAAAGUGUGGCUCCGGGGCUGCCG
rnacentral:lncRNA from 1 species